rnacentral:rRNA from 1 species
AGCUCCAAUAGCGUAUAUUAAAGUUGUUGCGGCUAAACAGCUCGUAGUUGGAUUUCUGCCGAGGACGACCGGUCCGCCCUCCGGGUGAGCAUCUGGUUCGGCCUCGACAUCUUCUUGGUGAACGUAGCUGCACUUGAUUGUGUGGUGCGGUACCCAGGACUUUUACUUUGAGGAAAUUAGAGUGUUUCAAGCAGGCAUACGCCUUGAAUACAUUAGCAUGGAAUAAUAAUAUAGGACCUUGGUUCUAUUUUGUUGGUUUUUUACAACUGAGGUAAUGAUUAAUAGGGAUAGUUGGGGGCAUUCGUAUUUAACUGUCAGAGGUGAAAUUCUUGGAUUUGUUAAAGACGGACUACUGCCGAAGCAUUUGCCAAGGAUGUUUUCA